UACGUAGGGUGCAAGCGUUGUCCGGAAUUAUUGGGCGUAAAGAGCUCGUAGGCGGUCUGUCGCGCCUGCUGUGAAAAUCCAGGGCUCAACCCUGGACCUGCAGUGGGUACGGGCAGACUAGAGUGCGGUAGGGGAGAUCGGAAUUCCUGGUGUAGCGGUGAAAUGCGCAGAUAUCAGGAGGAACACCGGUGGCGAAGGCGGAUCUCUGGGCCGUAACUGACGCUGAGGAGCGAAAGCAUGGGGAGCGAACAGG
rnacentral:rRNA from 1 species